AUGAAUCCAUAUUUUUUCUUCCCUGCCUCCACCGAUCUAACAAACAACCAACAAUAUUACUCCUUUUUUUCGGAAAUACUCCCUCCGUCCUCUCAAUCCUUCCGCGGCGGCACACCACACUUCCUCCGUCCUUUUGCUCAAUCCGUCCUCCGUCUCUUACGCAUACUUCCUCUGUUUCAUCCGCUCUUCACACGAAUCAAAAACAACAAUUCGGAAUGGAGGGUUGAGAUUGAGAGUUUGAUAAAGUUUGGAUUGAAUUUGUUUUGGGAAAUUUGUGAAAUUGAAGAAAAAAACGCAGGAAGAUUUGGUUGA